CUUGCCUUAGAAAGGGCACUGAAACACCAAGACCAACAAACAACCAUCUGCCUAAGUGGAAUUUCGGGAAUGUUGUCUUCUUCAAUCCUUUCCAUUAAAAGUCUUGUGGUACAACACUCCACACACAUGAUUUUUAGAGGCAAAGCCCUGGUUCUCCUGGGAAGGCUUUUACCACUGACCUGAGCUCACCCCAGAUUUUUCUCCGAGAUCAAGUGAGCUGCAGACACUUAUCCACACCAUUUGCUGUGAUAAGUGCCCAUAUUGUGUGACUUCCCUCUGCACUUCUCAGAUUACCCGAAAUGAAGGUUUGCUGCUGCUCUUCUGCAGAAGAGCACCCCAAACAUGUCAAGAUUAGUACCCAUUUAUUCCUAAUUUCCUGUUUUUUUUCUGUACCAGGCAAGGUCAGAGGCACUCUUCUGGCAUGGUGUGUCACAAGACUUCCUUCUUCGAAAACAGCCCACUGCUUUCAAGAUAGUGUAAUUAUGUGUGUGGGGGACACUCUUGCAAUGUGAUCAUUUAAGGUCUCUGAAGGGUCAGCAGAGGGCACUCAGUCAAAUUCCCUGAAAAUUUUGAAUAUACCAAACUCAGCAGAACAAUCUACCAGACUUAUUUAUCACAUCUACUUCAAAUAAUUAUCACCUAGGCAGACAUACCAUCCUUCAAGUGAUUUCAAUAUAUGCUGUGACUGAGAUGCUGUACAAACUUUCAGUGACUCCUUGUCAAUAACAACAGAGACAUUUAAAAGUUUUAUAUAUAUUCCCUUAUCUAAUCAGUCAAAUUAUGGUUUAUGGUUCAACUGAAACUGUAAUUCCAUUUGGCUUUGUUCCUUGUAAAGGUAUAUGAGACAUUGUUUACCUUAGAAUACAAUACUCCAGGACCUGGUUUAUACAACAGAUUUUUGUAAUGUUUCCCACCAUUAAUUCAAAUAUUCUUAUUUGAAUCUUCCUAAGUGUCAUUGUGAGCCUUCCUGUUAACCAUGCACCUGCUUGUCCUACUCUUUAAAAGUAUGACACAGUAUGGCCAUGCCUGAUGAUGAACAAGAUACUGAAAAACAAAGUGCUGUUUGAGAAUGAGAGUUUGGUGCAGGAAAGACUCAUUACAACCAGCACUUGGGAGGUGAGAGAAUCAUGGAAUGGUUUGUGUUGAAACGCACCUUGAAGAUCAUCUAGUUCCAAACACCCGGCCAGGAGCAGGGACAACUUCCACUAGACCAGGCUGCUCGGAGCUCCAUCCAACCUGGCCUUGAAUAGUGCCAGGGAUGGGACAUCCACAGCUUCUCUGGGCAACCUCUUCUGGUAAAGAUUUCUUUCAUCUAACCUAAAUUUCCCUUCUUACAGUUUUCCCCCAUUACUCCUUGUCCUGUCACUGCAGUUCCCAAUGAAGAGCCCCUCUCUGGUUUCCCUGUAGGUCCCCUCCAGAUACUGGAAGGUUGCUAUGAGGUCUCCACGCAACCUUCUCUUCUCCAGGCUCAACAGCCCCAACUUUCUCAGCCUGUCUUCCUAGGGCAGGUGCUCCAGUCCUCUUAUCAAUUUUGUGGCCUCCUGGACUUGCUCCAACAGUUGCAUGUUCUUCCUGCGUCAGGGGCACCAGAGUUGGAUGCAGGACCACAGAAUGUUGGAUGCAGACCCACAGGGGUCUCACAAGAGCAGAGUACAGAGACAGAAUCACCUCCCUCCACUUGCUGGCCACGCUCCUUUAGAUGCAGCCCAGGAUUUGUUUGGCUUUCUGGGCUGCCAGCCUACACUACUGGCUCAUGUUGAGUUUCUGGUCAGCCAACACCCUUAAGUCCUUCUCCACAAGUCUGCUGUCAAUCAUGUUUCAGCCCAGCUUGUAGGUGUGCCUGGGAUCAAACCCAUGUCUCCAAUUUAGAGACAAGAAUGUCGUGCAGGACAGUGUCUAAUGCUUUGCACAAGCCCAGGUAGACAACAUCCAUGGCUUUGCCCCUAUCCACCAGUGCUGUAGAGAUACAGCACUGUGUUUCUGUGAGAUGUGCACAUAGAAGUGCAUUUUGCUGGAAUUUGGGUAGAAACAUGUGCCCAAGACUCUUCUCUAAUAACACCUCACCUCAACUGAGCAAAAGCUUCACACAAGCACACUGCUGUAGUUCCCACAAAAAAGUAAGCCACUGUCUGCCCUGGUAAACCAAGGUCUUGGAGUUGGCCAUAAUCUUCAGCCAUCUUACAAAGUCCACCACAUCUGAACCACUGACUUGUCAAACACAGCACAUUCAUUAGUCUCAUAUUGUUUUAUUGUGUGUAUGUGUGGUCUAAAACGUCUGUAAAUAAAUUAAAAAAAAAAAUCAGCCAUUGAGCUUUGGACACAGUUUUAUUUUGGAAAUCCCCCUCCUUUUUUUUUUUUUUUUUUUUAAUUACCUUCAGACACAUUUUGGAUGAUCCCAUAUGAAUGGUUUACCAGAAGUACAUUGCUUUGCCACACAGUGAUUACAAUUUUUCUUGUAGCCCUGGCCCCGCUGGCAGACAUGGCCAAACUCUUGUGUACACAAGAGGGGUGGGAUUCUGCCAUAAAAUGAACUCUUAUCUUACCACGGGAAUUGGAGAAAAACUUACUUCCAUUUCCACCUUCAAGUAUUUAUGAGAGAAUUUACAGCCCUGGUUUAUAUUCAUCCACCUUAAGGUGAGCACCAAAAAGUAAAGUGCUGCUCACACCUUCUGCACACGUUCCACUUCCGAAGAAACACCUCCUAAAACUUGACCUCCAACAAUGACUGUAAUAAAGAAAUGUCAGUUUUGAGAUAGUCCAGGUUAAAAAGCUUUCCAAAUGGUUUGUUAGGAAAUGGGACCACAGCCAAAUUAACCAGAAAGCCUGGUUCUUCUACUGGUGUUUGCAUGAAGGCAGCCAUGGCUUACAGCUGGCUGAGGAUUAAUAACCAGGGCAAAUAAAUCAGGCUCCAUUAAUUUUCCAUCAUCUAUGAAGAUCUAAGGAGACCUGAUGUACUUAGAAAUGCAUGGUUCCUGGCUGUCAUGUCUACAGACCUAUGACAGAUGCUGGGUCCUUGUGUCAGGUCCCAGUUUUCCAGGCAACUGGAUGUGUCCCAUCCUACCACGACUGACACCAGAGAGCUCCCUAGCUGCAAAACUAAUGGUGGCAGGGAGGGAAGGCACUCAGAGCACUCUGCCCUCUCCCCCACAUAUGCAGCUCCCCUCUUUUACAGGAAGACUUGAGAGCACAUUGAGGGGAGAGGCGAAGGCUUUAGCCCUCUUGGGACAUGGCUGCUAGAUGUAGUGAGCUAGAAUGGCAGGGAACAGAGCAAAUGUCUCUUGUCCUCUUCUGAAAGACAAUAACUCUUCUGAUUCAAAGAAGGCACAAACCCAACCCUGGUGGCAUUUCCAUCCACAAGUCUAUUUUACACUUGACACAGCACAGAUCUGCCAGUCAUGACAGACCUGACAGGUUGUGAUACAGAUGCUCACAGAAAUGUGUCCUUAGGUUUUCUGCACAUGCCACAGCCGCGACUCACCUUCUGUCUGACAGAGACAACCUGGCAAGCCCAGAGCAAGCAAGUGAUAUCACCAGCAUGAUGCAUACAUUUAUAGGCAUCAUGAUAUUUCUUAAUUAGGAUUCCAACCGAAGAAUUUCAAAGGAGGAAAAAAAAGAAGUGGGCAGGGGAAUGAAUCCAAUACCUUAAAAAUGAUGAUUCGUGACACAUUCACCAAAUUGACACCUGAACACAGAGUAAUGACUGAUGCAAAAUUUAGCAGAUACCAGUGAUUUGGUUGACCACAUCACAUCAAUGGGAAUAAGCAUCAUCCAGAGGUGUAGAAAAAAUGUGUCUUGAGAAACUCCCUUUUACCAAACAUUAAAGCAGUUGUCAACUUGAAUGGGGAUGAAAGACGUGUUGAACAUGAACACUCCAAGUGAAAGCAGAUUGCCUGUUGAACUGUCCCAAAAUUAGUUUGACCUACACAACGCAGGAAUGGUGAUCAAAACUCUGCUGGGUAAAGGUUUAAAGGAAAGCGCCGCAACCUUACAGUGACUAACAUGUCAGGAAUGGGUAAGUGAAAAUUCUAGAUGUCAGAUACAAAUGACAAGUUAAAAGGUGUAUGUGACUGAUAGAGGAAGCUGAAAGAAUUAAUGAAAGUCUUCACAGCCUUACAGGUAGCAGUGGGCACAGAACCAUUUCAAGAGACAGGAAGUCAGGAACAACAGAGCAGAAAUAACCUUCAGCAUCUAACUCUAAUUACUUUUCUAUUUUGGUAUAGGUCCUUUCAUGGAAAAAUAUUGAUGUACAAGCUCCUUCCACAGCCACUAUGUUUAGUUUGUAUACUUUCAGCAUUCCCCAAACUGAGAAAGCUCCACAGCCACAGGGUGUGAAGAGGAGGAGUGGCUGAUAAGCCUCUGGCCCUGAUUUUCACCAUACUGACUCAGAGUUGACCAGCUCCCUCCGAAGCUGCCACUGCCACAUACCACCACCAGGAAGGAUGUGACCAGCUCGAUUUUGGAAGUCAGCAGAUGAGCAGUGAGCAGGGGUUAGCAGUUCGGUGGCUGAUGUGUUCAGAGGCCAGUGGGGACUGGGGAUGCUGUCCUGAGACAGGCUGGAGAGGGAAGCAUGGCACCGUGACCCCUUCAGCUAUCUGGAAGGAACUAUCACUCCUUCUUCUCCGCUGGGACCUGCACCAGCUGGGGUGCAGCAGUGUGCAGCAGCAUGAGUCCACAGACUGUCAUGGUGAGGCCGACCCACCACAGAGGUGUCCACGUCUCCCCGAAGAGCAAUUUUCCCAGGAUAGCCUGAAGGAAAAGAGAGACACAAAGCUUUGCUGGGCUGAGCUGCCCCAAGGCCUCUUGUGCUGCCACAGCUGUGAGGACUUCUAGGAGAGACAGCUCUAGAAAAAACCUGGCUGAGGAAACUCCUGCUGGGAUGACCAACAGGAAUGGCUGCUGAAGGUGAUGCUGGAGAUGACCAACUCCACCAGCAGCCUGGAAGCACAGCCAUAUUGUGCUUCCAAAGCAGAAUGUGACAGAUGCAUAUGUGCUUUGCUGCCUUCCCAGCACUUCUCAGGAGCCAAAUUUCCCACUGACUGGGUAUUUAUUAUUAUUGUCGAUUAUUGGACAUCACCAUGAGCUGUCUGCCAGCUGGGGCACAGAAACAAGGUGUACUGCUGCCAAGAGGGAAAAGCAAGUGGAAAAAACCUGUAGGUCAAAGACUCUACUGCUGUCACUAGAGGUGAUGCAUCUUCAGACCCAGCUAGGGUGACUCUGGCUUAUCCCAACUAAGGUGCUGCAAAGGAAAAACCAAACGAAGCAAAGCUCCCAGCUCCAGCUCCCACUGCAAUUAAAAAACUUUGGUAAACUGUGUUCCUCCUGCACCACCCAGGAAAGUUCCACCACCUGUGCCGUGAACAACUAUCAGAGCAGCUGAGGCCUGACACAAUCAUUUCAUAUCUGCCUGUAACUCUGCCUUUGUGGUCAGUGAUGCUGGUUGCACUGAGAGAUGAACUACAAGAAGCAUGGGCAUUCCCACGUCACUGUGCUCCUCAGGCUUCAGUGUCUGGGGAAGGGGUCUACUCACCGAAGAGAUGAAGUUGGAGGCUGUCGUUGUCACCGAGGCAGCAGCUGAGGAGGAGGAGAGUCGUAAGGCUUUUGUGAAGACUGCCCACAUCACUGCAUUGCACACAAACACCAGCCCAACACAGAUGAGGCGAAGCAACACUGGCAGCUGCAGGACAUAAUGGAAAACUGUGUAUUUUCAGCCCCCACUAUUCAACCUCUAUAAUUCAUGGGCACUUUGGAGCCCAGCCUAAUGGUGUGGGCUUUUAAAACUGAAUUACAGCUCAUAUUACAUGAAGAUGAAUAUAUUAAGUCACAGAAGGAAAUGAAAACGAGGAAACAGCCCUAGACAGACUGUGAGCCUGCCAUGUCCUGCUGCAAGCCCAGUCUCACACUACAAGCUGAGAAGUGCUGGGAUAAUAUGCAGCAGCUGCCAUGCCAGAAGCCAACCUGCAGAAAGCUCUCCAGGUCACAACAUGGCGCCACAUACAAUACCCAUAAAUGCCCUUCACUUAUCACCUGAUGUAUGGAACAGGGUCAAAUUCAGUCUGACAAACACCAGACAUGUACAUGCUGGCACUGUGUGUGCUCCAACUGUUGUGAAUGUGAGCCAAGACCUGGGUGGUCCCAAAGCACUCGUCCUACUGCUGCAAUGAGGGUAGAGCAGGAUCUCUGGGGUAAAAGAAAGAGCUGAGUGGCUUCAUGCCUUGUUUUGCUCACUGGAGAGUAGGGAAGUUUACUGAUGGGGUCUCUGCUCUAGCAUUUAGUAGCAAUAAAACCAAUUCUGAAGUCAAGGGCCUCAAGAAAUCUCUCUCUCCUUAGACAACCUGACCAGAUGUAUAACUGCCUCAGUCUGAGAAAAGGGCACAGGUGCACCUAAAAAGCCAGCACCAUUCACAGUGCCUCCCACCCCUUCCUAGUUUUAGCAGCUGAGGCCAUCUCCCCAGCCCCUGGGUACCAUACAGCUCAUGUGAAGACAGCAAGGGAGAUCACAGGCAGGCAGAUCACAACUCUCACAGUGACAAGUGAAAGCAAAGCUUUGUCUAAGCUCAUAGCAAUCACAGACUCAUAGCCUGCCACCUUUCAGUCCAUGGUGGGAUCCAUCAUGAGGCAGACAGAAAUGCAGGUUUGAAGGCACCAAGUACAGCUCAGAAGUGGCACCUGCCCUGUGGGAAUGGCUGCAGUGCCCAGUGUCCUCCUGCCAGCAGUGUCCUCCUGCCAGUCGCCCAAAUCAACGGUGUCCACCGUGUCCUGCUCCCACUCAGAAGAAGAAAUUACUAACUGCAAACAGUGGGGGAGCCCACAGUUUUCUGAAGCAAAUGAUACGGCAAGUAUAAAGUUAAAAGGAAAACAAUGCAACAAUAAAUCCAUGCUUGAUGGUUGGCACAAGCUCUCCAAGGCUAAUCCCAUUCUGGUGAGGGAUGGUGCAGGUGCGUGGCCUCAUUUUGCCCCACUUAUGGCAAAGGUCUCCAACUUAUGCAAUUGAUCAGGGCAAAAGUAAAGAUUCAGAAUGAUUCCCACCAGUGAAUCGCUUUGCUUUUCCACUGACUCCCUGGCAAACCCUGUGUGGAUGGGUAAGAGGGGCAACUGUGUCCAGCUACUACUGCUCCUCUGAGGAAGAAAACUUCUGCUGUGUUAUAGGUCACCAUAGGAUGGAGUUUGCCUCCCAAUUUCACUCUCUGCCUGUAUGAUCUGGCAGUUUUACUUUCCUCAGGGAGUUAUGUACAUCCACAUACUUCUAGUGAGUAAGCAGACUUGGGAGUAGGAAUGAGAGGGGAAAACAAUUCUUUGUGUUUCACCUAACUCCAGUGUAUUUCUGGAUCAGACAGAGACCACACUGCUGCGGUAAAAAAAAAGCCUUAAGAAAUCUUGUUACUGCCAUCAACCUUUAACCCAAGGGUGUAGAGCGAUGGAGCCCAGGUUCCUCUCCAAGGUCCUUUAGGAUAUGACAAAAGGCAACCAGGCAAGUAUGGAACAAAUGAAAUCCAUUAUGAGGAAAAGCAAAGGUGAUCAAGCACUGGAACAGAGAUCAUGGGCUCUCUGACUUUCUAAGUAUUUAAAACUUAACUGGAGAAGAUCAUGUGUAAGCAAAGCUUGGACUAGAGACCUCCAGAGAUCUUGCCAGACUUGAACUAGUCUGAGACUAACAGUGGUGAAGCAAAGCUGGUUGCCACUAUCACAGCAACUAUGCCACCUUCAGAAGUGACCAGAACCCAUGGCUUCUUCUGAUCUCCUAAUGCAGAGCCAGGGAAAUCAGCUGCAGGUGGCACAUGCCCAGAAGGAAGGUUUAUCAGAGAAAGGUCAAGUUUCUCUGUACCCAGGGCAGCAGAGUGGUCAUUGCAAUGGCCACAGACAGAGAGACAGGAACAUCCCCACAUGUUCCCCACAAGGAAGGAGGGAGAUAAAUUCCUCCCCUGCUAAGGGCUCAGCUGAGCCACCCCAAUGAGUCAAGGAUUACUGUUCUGAUUGCAUUUCUAAGCAAAGAUUACUUUCAGUGUACACUUCAGAUAAUCCAGAAUCACUCCUGAAGUGGCAGAAGUAAUUUUAGAUGAAGAUUGGCAGGGGAGCAGAGAAAGCAAAGAAAAGCUUUUGUUCAAGUGCAGUGACCCUUCCUGGUCAGGCUGCUCUUAGGGUGGGCCACCACAACACAUCCUUGUGGCCAGAAAAUCCAUCCUUGUGAUUAUGGCAUUUACAUAAAACUUGGCUAGUUUUACUGCUAAGCUGAUUAAUUUAAUUAAUAAUUGUCACCUGGAAUGGACGUGAAAAGUGAAACCAAUCUGCCCAUAAAAAAGAAACAAACAUGGAACCACAGCAUGGUUGAGGUUAAAAGGGAUCUCCGGAGUUCACCUGGUCCAACCUCAUCACUCCAGCAGAUUGCCCAGGUCUAUGUCUGGACAGUAUAUGAGUAUCUCCAAGGAUGGAGAAUCUGCCACAUCCCCAGGCAACACAGGCCAGUGCCUGGUCACCCUCACAGUUGAAGAAAAGGUGUUUCUGGAUGUUCAAAGGAAACUGCCUGUUUCAGCACAUGCCCUUUGCCUCUGGUCCUGUUACUGGGCACCACUGGAAUGAACCUGGCUCCAUCCUUUGUGCACCCUCACUGCGGGUAUUUCUACACAUUGAAAAGAUCCCCCUGAACCUUCUCUUCUCCAAGAUGAACAGUCCCAGCUCUUUCAGCCUCUCCUCACAAAUUGAUGUUCUGAUCCCUUAAUCAUCUUCAUGAGCCUUUGCUGGACUUUCCAGUAGCUCCAUCUCUUUUUUGCAGUGGAGAGCUCAAAACUGAACCCAAAGAUCCAGGUGUGCCCUCACUGGGGCUGAGUAGACAGGAGGGAUAAUCUCUGUUGACCUUCUGGCAACACUUCACAGCAAUGACAUGAUACUUUGUCACAGCACAUUAGGGAAAAAAAAAAAAAAAAAAAAAAAAAAA
ensembl:lncRNA